AAAUGGGAGUGGGCUUUGCUUCUUUUGGUGCUUCGCUGUAUUGGCCUCUUUGGCUGUCUGACUAGGUUACAAUCUUCUAUUAAGUUUGGUUGAAACGGCAUCUAUACCUUGUCACCCAGGCUACAUUUUUGAUGUGUUAUUUUCUAAAGGCAUUUAUGAAAUGCGAACAGACCAGACUACAAUCUUCUGUUAUUAGUUUAUCUUGUAGUGGCCUCUAUUCUCAAUAACCGCCAGGGCACAAUUGUAAGCCUCUUUUUAUAGCCUCGGUUUUAACCUGUCUGACUACAAUUUUUUGCAAAACUUGUGAAAUGCCUUUGGAAGGCACCCUGUCAGCUGUUUGUUGUGUCAGCAGGAAAUACCAUGAAGCCUUAUUUUGUGUUUUUAUUUGUGUUGUGUUGAGGUUUUUUGUGGGGGGAUUUGACAGUUGGAAAGCUGAUCGCCUAGCUGUGUCAAAACAAUCCAGAUGUACAUGUGUGACUGCUUUUAGGCCAGCUCUGACUCUACUGUCAGGCAUGCGGAUGCAAAUUUACCCAAGAGCUGCAGCUUCCUUAUCAGAAAAUAAAUCUAAUUCUCGAGUCUUUUUAUCAAAUGGCGCAUUAUGAAGUCGAGAGACAUGUGGAAAUCAUUAACAAUUAUAGGUAAUUCUCAAUCCUAGUUAAGCGAUAUACAACAGUGCUCUGAGAAAAUGGAUGUCUAAUUCCUCUGCUUCAGCCUCUGACUUGAGUCACAAAUCCACAGGUCCAUUCCGGCCUCAAAUAGGGUUAAUUUCCCGGGGGUUAAUGUCAGAAGAAGCUGCUAGUUCCCUCUCAGGACUCCCCGUUUCCGUGGUUACUGGUGGAAAAACGGGGCACUAGGGUAGGCUCCUCUGUCGCGUACGUCUUGACAGGUGCUGGCUUCCUAUUACAGCCUUAAACACCCCCAACCCCCACCCUGCCCCACCCCUUAAUCUCUAGUGACCACUGCCCCAGAGAGAGAUGGGGAGUGAGGGAGCUCUACAACACAUGUACAGACAGCACGCGAGCGAGCGAGAAAGAGAGCACCUGUUGGCCUCUAUAGAGUCCGCCUGGCAGACUUGAGGCCUGGCUUUAAAGAACACACACUCACACAGUGUGUGUGUGUGUGUGUGUGUGUGUGUGUGUGUGUGUGUGUGUGUGUUAGGGUCCGGAAGAGGUCACUGAGGACAGGAACUGUCCGUUGGAGAAGAGGGGCGGGUGUUGGUUAUCCCAUCUCUGAUACCCUUCCUCCAUAAUGGCACUGAACCGCCACAUUCACCCGAGUGUUUUCUUCCCGUUUUUUUGUUUUUUGUUACCGUUUCUCUCAUCACAAUGAUAUUCCUACCAAGUGUCAGGCAGCCAUUAGAUUGAGAACCUGAAAACUGACACCCUUGUGAGACUGGUGGUAAGGGGGGGUUUUCAAGGUGCUUUUGAGGCUUGCGUGGAAGGGCUGGGUGGGGGUUAAUGGCAGGGAGGGAAGGAGGGGUGGUACACUGGGGCUCCUAUGUGACGCCUUAAUGAGCCUCGGUGCACCCUGGGAAACCCACCUCCACAGGUGUCGGAACAAAGCCCCUCGUUUUUUUUUGUCUGUUUUCCUGAAAGAACACACGGCUUAUGCGGUCCUUCAUGCAGUCCUUCUUUAAAUUUCUAUCCAGGUUUUUGAUAGUAGUUUGAAGCAGAGUGACCAACGUUUGGAGAUUAGCCAUUAACCGACAAACGUUCUCACGACCAUAAUGGCUCAGCCGCUCUCUGCCAAUGGAAUCUCCCCGCACUGCCCAACCCGGGCCUGCCUCGCUUCUGAAAGACGUGAUGGCAGAACCCCACCCCCCCACCCCCACCCACUGUCCGGUCGGCAUUAAACCCACCAGCUGACCUCCAACCUUUUUCCUCCUCCACCACCACCCCACCUCCUCCCUCCCCCUCAAUCCCCCCCAGCGUACUUUGCCUCCUCCUUCUCCUCCAAGAUGCCAGGGCCUCUCUAUGCACAUCGUGUGUGUGUGUGUGUGUGUGUGUGUGUGUGUGUGUGUGUGUGUGUGUGUGUGUGUGUGUGUGUGUGUGUGUGUGUGUGUGUGUGUGUGUGUGUGUGUGUGUGUGUGUGUGUGUGUGUGUGUGUGUGUGUC